UUUUGAUACCACAACGCAAAGCCACGCUAAAAACGUUUUAACGUUCUUGAUGCUAGUCAGAGCAGCGCGCAUCGCUGUGUGCAAUGCAACGCAACAGCUAUAUGCCUUGUCUUACUUACUCUUUAGCUGUGAGUAGUUGAGUACGCUCUAUCUAUGGGUACGCUAGCUCCGACCGAACCAAUGAAACAAUCAGUCGUGAACCAAGUGUUUUGGAGAGAAGUGCUUGUGGUUUAUGUGUGUGUGUACGACGACGUCUUUGAACGAUAUGGUUGCGCUUAUGUAUGGUGCGGUCGCUUUUAUGUGACCUUUUCAAUUUGGUCGGCUCAUUAGAGAAUUGCUGACAUAAUCUUGUUUUUGAGAUAACUUUCAUUAGAGCCGUAAUUCAAAGCUGCAAUUAACAGGAAGGAAUUUUCAGGAAUCAUUUUAAUUUGUUUAAAGUAUGCCAUGUUUCUUAAUGUUAUGGGAACUGCGUAUUUGAUCGCUAAAGUACGACCAGUCUAAAAUAAAUCAAAUUUGUUUUUAUCUUCUUAAUGUGUAAAGUAUGAAAUCUAAUAUUUCUGAUGUAAACAAGCGUCGAACCACGGGUAUUUUUUACAGCUGUUUAUUUGGUUAUAAGUGUAUUGGUUUACAUGUAAACCCGCUUCUUCUGAUUUUUGAAACCAUUUAAUUACAUUGGUUUACGUCAACCAAAUCAAAAACUAAUGAUUAAACAAAUUUAAACAAA